GUGCUCGCUUCGGCAGCACAUAUACUAAAAUUGGAAAGAUACAGAGAAGAUUAGCAUGGCCCCUGCACAGGAUGACAUGCAAAUUUGUGAAGCUUUCCAUAGUUUU
ensembl:snRNA U6 U6 spliceosomal RNA